UGGGGAAUAUUGGACAAUGGGGGCAACCCUGAUCCAGCGACGCCGCGUGGGUGAAGAAGGCCUGCGGGUUGUAAAGCCCUUUCGGUGGGGAAGAAAAGCCUCGAGCUAACAUCUCGGGGUCUUGACGUAACCCAUUAAAGAAGCACCGGCUAACUCUGUGCCAGCAGCCGCGGUAAUACAGAGGGUGCGAGCGUUAAUCGGAAUUACUGGGCGUAAAGCGCGCGUAGGCGGCUUUGCAAGUCGAGUGUGAAAUCCCCAGGCUUAACCUGGGAACUGCAUUCGAGACUGCAUAGCUAGAGUAUGGGAGAGGGAAGUGGAAUUUCAGGUGUAGCGGUGAAAUGCGUAGAUAUCUGAAGGAACAUCAGUGGCGAAAGCGACUUCCUGGACCAAUACUGACGCUCAUGUGCGAAAGCGUGGGGAGCAAACA
rnacentral:rRNA from 1 species